GGAUUAGAUACCCUAUUAUUUUAAAUGUAAAUGUUAGAACUUGAGUAGUAUUAGUUAGGGUCUUGAAACUUAAAGAAUUUGGCGGUAUUUUAGUCUAUUUAGAGGAAUCUGUCCCUUGAUCGAUAAUCCACGUUGGACCUUACUUAAUUUAUUAGUAUGUAUACCGCCGUUGUUGAAAAUCCUUAUAGGGAAAUUUCUUGAUUUUUUAUUAGUAAGUAUUUCAGGUCAAGGUGCAGCUUAUAGUUAAGUGGUGAUGGAUUACAAUGUUAAUUAAGCAAACAAAUUUUUGUGUUAAAUGUUAAUUGAAGGUGGAUUUAAUUGUAAAUUUGUGAAGAUUUUCGAAUUGAUAAAAGCUCUAAGAUGUGUACACAUCGCCCGUCACUCUCGUUAAUUAAGAUGAGAUAAGUC
rnacentral:rRNA from 1 species